rnacentral:rRNA from 1 species
ACGGUAGACUACUUUCGGGUAGUUGAGAGUGGCGCACGGGUGCCUAACGCGUAUGCAACCUACCUUGUACAGGGGGAUAGCCCGGAGAAAUUCGGAUUAAUACCCCAUAGCAUUACCAGAUGGCAUCUGAAGGUAAUUAAAGAUUUAUCGGUACAAGAUGGGCAUGCGUGACAUUAGUUAGUUGGUAGGGUAACGGCCUACCAAGACUAUGAUGUCUAGGGGUUCUGAGAGGAUGAUCCCCCACACUGGUACUGAGAUACGGACCAGACUCCUACGGGAGGCAGCAGUAGGGAAUAUUGGUCAAUGGGCGAGAGCCUGAACCAGCCAUGCCGCGUGCAGGAAGACGGCCUUCUGGGUUGUAAACUGCUUUUAUACGGGAAGAAAAGACCCUUGCGAGGGAGAUUGCCGGUACCGUAUGAAUAAGCACCGGCUAACUCCGUGCCAGCAGCCGCGGUAAUACGGAGGGUGCAAGCGUUGUCCGGAUUUAUUGGGUUUAAAGGGUGCGUAGGCGGGCCUUUAAGUCAGUGGUGAAAGCCUGCAGCUUAACUGUAGAACUGCCAUUGAUACUGGAGGCCUUGAGUGUACUAGAGGUAGGCGGAAUUUAUGGUGUAGCGGUGAAAUGCAUAGAUACCAUAAAGAACACCGAUAGCGUAGGCAGCUUACUGGAGUACAACUGACGCUGAGGCACGAAAGCAUGGGGAGCGAACAGGAUUAGAUACCCUGGUAGUCAUGCCGUAAACGAUGAUUACUCGAUGUGGGCGAUACCCUGUCAGCGUCCAAGCGAAAGCGUUAAGUAAUCCCCCUGGGGAGUAC